rnacentral:lncRNA from 1 species
GACUGCCUCUGUUGUACCUGCGAGAUGCCUCAAGGGGACAAGCUGUGCCUGUUUGACAGCUCAGGAAUUUAAACAUGCCUUUGUGGGAUGAAAUCGAAUACAUCAGUUCAUGAUGCUCUGCCAGCCAAGCUGGGGCUUCCGGUGUCCUGGGGCCACGUGAACGGAGCAGAGACACCGCCAGCUCCUAUGUUCUCCGGGACCUUCUUGAGCUGUGGCCGCUGCUCCAAAGUCCCAGGCAGCUGAUGCGGACCCGUGUCUGCGGCGCCCACGAAAGACGGUGCUUUCUUGAGAGCGGCCUGCCCUUUCUGAGCCCUUCUGCGAGCCGUGGGAUUCCAAAUGCUCUGAAUGCAUUAGCUGACGCUCACACGGUCCCCAUGAGAUAGACGCCCUUCGGCAGAUGAGGAAGCCAGCCUGGAGGAUCACAGUGCAAGGGGAAGUUCUAGAGCAAAGACGAGAAGGAGGGAUCUGUGUGUGGCGGGACAGAACAAUAGUACAAGUUCAGACUCUAGGGGCUGUGCUGAAUAUGUACAAGAAAUUUCCUUCCCACGUGGUCCUCACGCCCUGCUGUGAUGGAGGGGGGCAAAGAAUCGGGUCGUGUGCUCCAGAGGGCCCAAGCCAGGGAAGGCGCAGACAGACACGAAGCUCAAACCAGCAAGCGGCCUUGGAAGAGGGAGAGUAAACAGGUCUAAAAGGAGGUGGCCCUUGGUUGUAAACAUUGGUGACAGCCACACCACUGGGUCGAGGGACCCAAGAAGGGCGUGUGGAUGGGUUUCCUCAGCGUGCAGAUGGGGACGUUGGGUGCGAAUGGGGGGGGCCUCAGGGGCGGCAGAAGUGAUGGGGGAGGUAGUCGUUUAGUCUGGGA